GCGCCCGUAGCUCAGCAGGAUAGAGCGACCGCCUCCUAAGCGGUAGGCCGUGGGUUCGAAUCCCGCCGGGCGUGCCA
rnacentral:tRNA from 1 species